GACGAACGCUGGCGGCGUGCUUAACACAUGCAAGUCGAACGGAAAGGCCCUGCUUUUGUGGGGUGCUCGAGUGGCGAACGGGUGAGUAACACGUGAGUAACCUGCCCUUGACUUUGGGAUAACUUCAGGAAACUGGGGCUAAUACCGGAUAGGAGCUCCUGCUGCAUGGUGGGGGUUGGAAAGUUUCGGCGGUUGGGGAUGGACUCGCGGCUUAUCAGCUUGUUGGUGGGGUAGUGGCUUACCAAGGCUUUGACGGGUAGCCGGCCUGAGAGGGUGAGCGGCCACAUUGCGACUGCGAUACGGCCCAGACUGCAACGGGAGGCAGCGGUGGGGAAUAUUGCACAACGGGAGGAAGCCUGAUGUAGAAACGCCGCGUGCGGGAUGACGGCCUUCGGGUUGUAAACCGAUUUCGCAUGUGACGAGGCGUGAGUGACGGUAAUGGGUAAAGAAGCACCGGCUAACUACGUG
rnacentral:rRNA from 1 species